CUGGAGUAAAAGGAUUCGAACCUUUGAAUAUCGGAACCAAAAUCCGAUGCCUUACCACUUGGCGAUACCCCA
rnacentral:tRNA from 1 species